AUUGAACGCUGGCGGCAUGCUUUACACAUGCAAGUCGAACGGUAACAGGUCUUCGGAUGCUGACGAGUGGCGAACGGGUGAGUAAUACAUCGGAACGUGCCUAGUAGUGGGGUAUAACUACUCGAAAGAGUAGCUAAUACCGCAUGAGAUCUACGGAUGAAAGCAGGGGACCUUCGGGCCUUGUGCUACUAGAGCGGCUGAUGGCAGAUUAGGUAGUUGGUGGGGUAAAGGCUUACCAAGCCUGCGAUCUGUAGCUGGUCUGAGAGGACGACCAGCCACGCUGGGACUGAGACACGGCACAGACUCCUACGGGAGGCAGCAGUGGGGAAUUUUGGACAAUGGGCGAAAGCCUGAUCCAGCAAUGCCGCGUGCAGGAUGAAGGCCCUCGGGUUGUAAACUGCUUUUGUACGGAACGAAAAGCCUGGGGCUAAUAUCCCCGGGUCAUGACGGUACCGUAAGAAUAAGCACCGGCUAACUACGUGCCAGCCGCCGCGGUAA
rnacentral:rRNA from 1 species